rnacentral:rRNA from 1 species
AAAUCAAGCGUUUAAGGGCGUCUGGUGAAUGCCUUGGCACUGAAAGUCGAUGAAGGACGUGAUAUACUGCGAUAAGUUUCGGGGAGUUGUAUGUAAACUUUGAUCCGAAAAUUUCCGAAUGGGAAAACCCAACUCUUUAAGAGUUAUUUCAAACUGAAUACAUAGGUUUGAAAAGGCAACCUAGGGAACUGAAACAUCUAAGUACCUAGAGGAAAAGAAAUCAAUUGAGAUUCCGUCAGUAGUGGCGAGCGAACGCGGAACAGGCCUGUAGUUUUAUUUGUACAACUAGAAAAAUCUGGAAAGAUUUGCCAUAGAGGGUGAUAGCCCCGUAAAGGUAAAAGCAAAUAAGAUUCUUGAGUAAAGCGGGACACGAGAAAUCCUGCUUGAAGAUAGGGGGACCACCCUCUAAGCCUAAAUACUCUUCAGUGACCGAUAGUGAACUAGUACCGUGAGGGAAAGGUGAAAAGAACCCCUAUUAGGGGAGUGAAAUAGAACCUGAAACCGGAUGCCUACAAUCAGUCGGAGCUCUAUAUGAGUGACGACGUACCUUUUGUAUAAUGGGUCAGUGACUUUAUCUGUGCAGCAAGCUUAAGCCGAAAAGGUGUAGGCGUAGCGAAAGCGAGUCUGAAUAGGGCGAUGAGUUGUACGGAUAAGAACCCGAAACCUAGUGAUCUAGUUAUGAGCAGGUUGAAGGUAAGGUAACACUUACUGGAGGACCGAACCGGUGCCUGUUGAAAAAGGCUCGGAUGACUUGUGAUUAGGGGUGAAAGGCCAAUCAAACUGGGAGAUAGCUGGUUUUCCGCGAAAACUAUUUAGGUAGUGCGUUGAAUAAUAAGAUCUUGAGGGGUAGAGCACUAAAUAGGCUAGGGGGAAGAAAUUCUUACUAAACCUAAUAAAACUCCGAAUACUCAAGAUUGUUUCUCAAUAGACAGACGGUGGGAGCUAACUUCCAUCGUCGAGAGGGAAAAAACCCAGACCACCAUCUAAGGUCCCAAAAUCGUAGUUAAGUGUGAAAGGAUGUGAAGACUCCAAAACAGCCGGGAGGUUGGCUUAGAAGCAGCCAUCCUUUAAAGAAAGCGUAACAGCUCACCGGUCUAAUUAAGAGACUUUGCGCCGAAGAUGUAACGGGGCUCAAACUACGUACCGAAGUUGUGGAUUUAAAGUGUCUACGGACAUUUUAUCUGGUAGCGGAACGUUCUGUAAGUCUGCGAAGGGAUACCCGCGAGGGGUCCUGGAGAUAUCAGAAGUGCGAAUGCUGACAUAAGUAGCGACAAACAGAGUGAAAGACUCUGUCGCCGAAAAUACAAGGGUUCCUGCGUAAAGUUAAUCUUCGCAGGGUUAGUCGGCCCCUAAGGCGAGGGCGAAAGCCGUAGUCGAUGGGAACAAGGUAAAUAUUCCUUGACCUGAUGGUAGUGACGGAUCUCGUAUAUUGUAAGUUCUUAUUGGAUUGAACUUGCCUUGAAGAGGUCCCAGGAAAUAACUCCAUCAUUAAGACCGUACCCUAAACGGACACACGUGUAUUGGUAGAGAAUACCUAGGCGCUUGAGAGAAUGAUGUUGAAGGAACUCGGCAACUUGCCUCUGUAACUUCGGGAUAAAGAGGGCCUUAUUUUGCGCAAGCAGAGUAAGGUGGCACAAGCCAGGGAGUAGCGACUGUUUAACAAAAACACAGGACUCUGCUAACACGUAAGUGGAUGUAUAGGGUCUGACGCCUGCCCGGUGCCGGAAGGUUAAAGCAAGAUGUGCAAGCAUCGAACUGAAGCCCCGGUGAACGGCGGCCGUAACUAUAACGGUCCUAAGGUAGCGAAAUUCCUUGUCGGGUAAGUUCCGACCUGCAUGAAUGGCGUAACGACUGCUCCGGUGUCUCCAACAUCAACUCAGCGAAAUUGAAUUCUCCGUGAAGAUGCGGAGUUCCCGUGGUUAGACGGAAAGACCCCGUGCACCUUUACUACAACUUUACAUUGGUAUUAGAAAUGACAUGUGUAGCAUAGGAGGGAGACUUUGAAGUGGUGGCGCUAGCUAUCAUGGAGUCGUCAGUGAAAUACCUCUCUUGUUAUUUUUGAUAUCUAACUCCAUGCCGUCAUCCGGCUGGAAGACACUGUAUGGUGGGUAGUUUGACUGGGGCGGUCGCCUCCUAAAGAGUAACGGAGGCGUGCGAAGGUAGGCUCAGAUCGGUCAGAAAUCGAUCGUUGAGUGCAAUGGCAUAAGCCUGCCUGACUGCAAGACUGACAAGUCAAGCAGAGUCGAAAGACGGUCAUAGUGAUCCGGUGGUUCUGAGUGGAAGGGCCAUCGCUCAACGGAUAAAAGGUACGCCGGGGAUAACAGGCUGAUACCCUCCAAGAGUUCAUAUCGACGAGGGUGUUUGGCACCUCGAUGUCGGCUCAUCACAUCCUGGGGCUGGAGCAGGUCCCAAGGGUUUGGCUGUUCGCCAAUUAAAGUGGUACGUGAGCUGGGUUUAAAACGUCGUGAGACAGUUUGGUCCCUAUCUGCCGUGGGCGCUGGAAGUUUGAGGGGGCCUGCUCCUAGUACGAGAGGACCGGAGUGGACGAACCUCUGGUGUACCGGUUGUCACGCCAGUGGCAUCGCCGGGUAGCUAUGUUCGGAAGAGAUAAACGCUGAAAGCAUCUAAGCGUGAAACUCGCCUCAAGAUGAGACUUCCCUGGGAACUUGAUUCCCCUGAAGGGUCGUUGAAGACCACAACGUUGAUAGGCUGGGUGUGGAAGCGCAGUAAUGCGUGUAGCUAACCAGUACUAAUUGCCCGUGAGGCUUGAUCCUAUAAUUCUG